rnacentral:rRNA from 1 species
GGAUGAACGCUGGCGGCGUGCCUACUACAUGCAAGUCGAGCGAACAGACGAGGAGCUUGCUCCUCUGACGUUCGCGGCGGACGGGUGAGUAACACGUGGAUAACCUACCUAUAAGACUGAGAUAACUUCGGGAAACCGGAGCUAAUACCGGAUAAUAUAUUGAACCGCAUGGUUCAAUAGUGAAAGACGGUUUUGCUGUCACUUAUAGAUGGAUCCGCGCCGCAUUAGCUAGUUGGUAAGGUAACGGCUUACCAAGGCAACGAUGCGUAGCCGACCUGAGAGGGUGAUCGGCCACACUGGAACUGAGACACGGUCCAGACUCCUACGGGAGGCAGCAGUAGGGAAUCUUCCGCAAUGGGCGAAAGCCUGACGGAGCAACGCCGCGUGAGUGAUGAAGGUCUUCGGAUCGUAAAACUCUGUUAUUAGGGAAGAACAAAUGUGUAAGUAACUAUGCACGUCUUGACGGUACCUAAUCAGAAAGCCACGGCUAACUACGUG